UGCAAGUCAUAUGUUCUUCGUGAACAUGGCGAACUGCUCAGUAACACGUGGAUAACCUGCCCUAAGGUUUGGCAUAACACCGGGAAACUGGUGAUAAUUCCGAAUAAACCAGAUAUGCUGGAAUGCUUUCUGGUUCAAAGCUUCGGUGCCUUAGGAUGGAUCUGCGGCCUAUCAGGUAGUAGUGGGUGUAAUGUACCUACUAGCCGACGACGGGUACGGGUUGUGAGAGCAAGAGCCCGGAGAUGGAUUCUGAGACAUGGAUCCAGGCCCUACGGGGCGCAGCAGGCGCGAAAUCUUUACACUGCGGGAAACCGCGAUAAGGGGAUACCGAGUGCCAGCAUUUAUGUUGGCUGUCCACAUGUCUAAAUCGCAUGUGUUAGCAAGGGCCGGGCAAGACCGGUGCCAGCCGCCGCGGUAACACCGGCGGCCCGAGUGGUGGCCACUAUUAUUGGGUCUAAAGGGUCCGUAGCCGGUUUGAUCAGUCUUCCGGGAAAUCUGACAGCUUAACUGUUAGGCUUCCGGGGGAUACUGUCAGGCUUGGGACCGGGAGAGGUAAGAGGUACUACAGGGGUAGGAGUGAAAUCUUGUAAUCCCUGUGGGACCACCAGUGGCGAAGGCGUCUUACCAGAACGGGUCCGACGGUGAGGGACGAAAGCUGGGGGCACGAACCGGAUUAGAUACCCGGGUAGUCCCAGCCGUAAACGAUGCUCGCUAGGUGUCUGGGACGGUGCGACCGUUUCAGGUGCCGCA
rnacentral:rRNA from 1 species